rfam:Loxodonta africana unplaced genomic scaffold scaffold_21, whole genome shotgun sequence.
GCUCUGGUAGCACAGUGGUUAAAGUGCUUGGCUGCUAACCAAAAGGUUGGUGGUUCAAACCUACCAGCAGCU